UGCCUAAACCUCGCGUUCGCGCAAGGCAUGGCAAGCAAAGCCCGCAACAGGGACGAGAGCUCCUCGUCAGAUGCCUGUUGCGGGUCAUGAGCCGAAAGGUUCAUGGGUGGCGAAAGCCAUC
rnacentral:sRNA from 1 species